UGGGGAAUAUUGGACAAUGGGCGAAAGCCUGAUCCAGCAAUGCCGCGUGAGUGAUGAAGGCCUUAGGGUUGUAAAGCUCUUUUACCCGGGAUGAUAAUGACAGUACCGGGAGAAUAAGCCCCGGCUAACUCCGUGCCAGCAGCCGCGGUAAUACGGGGGGGGCAAGCGUUGUUCGGAAUUACUGGGCGUAAAGGGCUCGUAGGCGGCCCUCUAAGUCACACGUGAAAUCCCCCGGCUCAACCGGGGAACUGCGUGUGAGACUGGGGGGCUAGAGUUUGGGAGAGGAAUGCGGAAUUCCAGGUGUAGCGGUGAAAUGCGUAGAUAUCUGGAGGAACACCGGUGGCGAAGGCGGCAUUCUGGACCAACACUGACGCUGAGGAGCGAAAGCCAGGGGAGCAAA
rnacentral:rRNA from 1 species